rnacentral:rRNA from 1 species
CCUACGGGGGGCUGCAGUGGGGAAUAUUGGGCAAUGGGCGCAAGCCUGACCCAGCAACGCCGCGUGAAGGAAGAAGGCUUUCGGGUUGUAAACUUCUUUUGUCAGGGACGAAGCAAGUGACGGUACCUGACGAAUAAGCCACGGCUAACUACGGGCCAGCAGCCGCGGUAAUACGUAGGUGGCAAGCGUUAUCCGGAUUUACUUGGUGUAAAGGGCGUGUAGGCGGGACUGCAAGUCAGAUGCGAAAACCACGGGCUCAACCUGUGGCCUGCAUUUGAAACGGUAGUUCUUGAGUACUGGGGAGGCAGGCGGAAUUCCUAGUGUAGCGGUGAAAUGCGUAGAUAUUAGGAGGAACCCCAGUGGCGAAGGCGGUCUGCUGGACAGCACCUGACGCUGAGGCGCGAAAGCGUGGGUAGCAAACAGGAUUAGAUACCCCAGUAGUC